GCAUUCAAGUUUUAACUAUAAAAGGAUCAAAAUAAAUCUCUUUAGUACAUUCAAAGGAUGAAAAAUAUGGCACAGUUUCUUCUGUUUAUUUAUUCCUUGAUUAUCUUUCUUUCUCUAUUUUUUGGAGAAGCAGCGUACGAGAGGACUGAACCCAUAAUGCACAAUGGAGAACCAAUCAAUUUAAUUCCUUGCGUUACUGUCGCUGAUUGUCCAAGGAUGGAUGAACCUCUUCAUAUGACGUGUCUUGUAGGUGCUUGUUGGCCAUGUAUUCGUAGUCUGUAUUAAUUGCACAAUUGAAACUAGGGGACAUCACAAUAUUUCAACUUUUAUUGUUUAUUUAAAAAUAUAAAUAAUGUUUAUCUAGCUGUCAAAUUUUAUUUUAUGUGUAUAAGCUGCACUCUUUUUUCCUUCAUCAAGUUUUAUUCCAUUGAGAAUUUCUCUUAAGGUUUGUAACGAGGCGGUUUUCUAUAGUAUUUGUUUCCUUGGAUUUGGCAUAGUCCCCCAAUUUUUAUUUUAAAUAAAAUGUUUCUUUGAGGUCUUAUAAAUGAUUGUAAUGAGUUAAGAUCCCAACUUAGCUAAGAUUUCCUCAUGUCUUAUGAUGCCUAUCUACGAUCAUGAUAUAAAGAAAAAUGUUAAAUGCAUUUUUCUAUAACAAUUUCUGUACUUUUAUCUAUUAUUCACCAAACUUUUAUCUAAUAAUUUCUGCUAGGGUUUAGCCGAAACACCGUUUCACUAAACUUUCAAAGAAACAUCAUGAAUCAUCGAUUCUUGAUUUAUCGAUUCAUGCUAUUCAAUACACAACUGAUUGUAUGCCUUAUUUUGUCCUACGUGCUUCAUUCAUCUCCCUAAUUAAGUCGUUAACGUGUUGUAAUCUUCUUGAUUUUGGUGAGAGAAAGAACUUUCUAUCAUUACGUGAGUGGGUUGUUAGGUGCUUCUUAUUGUUGUUCACCAUAUCCUUGCCGAUCACCGUUCACGCCUCUGUCAUGCCUUUUGUAAACAUCCCGAUUUUUGCUAUUAUUAUUUAUUUGUUUAUUUAUUUAUUAUGUGUUAAAUUGCUUGUUUGUAUGUUUGAUUUGAGGGUUAGGGGAUUUUUAGGCGUGAAGAGUAUAUUAGUCAUUUUAGAACUAAGGGCAUUUUGGUAAAUUCAGGAGUGAGGGUAAAUUCAUAAUUUUAGAACGAAUUGUAUUAUAGUAAUUUUGGUGUGGAGAGUUAUUUUAAUAGAAUUGAUAGUAACUUGAGGUAAUUGUUAAGGAAAAAAGUUAUGGUGCAUAACGAAAUCUUUAUACACCGUGCAUAAACACUUCACAACCAUCAGAUCUAGUGUACACAUGUAAUAAUCCUAGGUUUCUCAGCUCACACUCUCACAAUCUGAUCGCACACACUCUCACAAUCUGAUCGCACACACUCUCAUACGACUCAACCUUGCUCGCCACUUCGAUGUGCUGACCCUUGCUCGCUGCUCCGACGUGGUUUAUCCGGCUAGGUUACGACGACGUGAUUGCGACGUGGUUUAUCUGGCUAGGUCAUCGACGAGGUUGCACGGAUUUCACCCUUGCUCGCGCUACGACGUGAUUUCUCCAGCGGCAUUCGUACUGCAAUUUGAAGAGUGUUUGUUGCUGUUUUCAAUGGAUUUGAUAUCAACUUCAUCUGAGAGUGGACAAUUGAGUGUUGAAACUUCAUCAUUGAUUCAUGCUGAUAGUUCUCAAUGUUACUCCCGUAGCAAUAAAGAAUCAAGGAAGUCUUUAGUCUUUAAAUUUAUUAAAGAGAUUGAAGAUUUUUAUGGUAAUUAUGCAUAUAACACUGGAUUCUCUAUUAGGACUAUGUUGAAGUCGAAGAACAAUUCAAAAAAAUAAGAAAUGAGAUAAGGUACAUUAUGUGUGUUAUGUUUGUAACAAACAAGGUUUCAAGAAGGGAAGUCUGCUUAAUCAUAACAACAGACCAACAUCAGACAGUCCAGUGGUUAUUGAUUUUGUGAAAGUGAAAGAAAAACCUGAGGAAAGGGUUGGUUGUAAAGCUGGAAUAUGUUUGAAGCUGGAUAAAGUUUUUAAUGUCUAUAAGAUAUAUAGAUGGGAUGUGGCUCACUGUCAUCCAUUACAUAAACCAGAGCAUUUGUGUUACCUGAGAUCAUUUCGAGAAGUAAAUGAAGUUCAAGGACAACUCGCUGUAAUAAAUUCUAAAGCUGGAGUGUCGAUGAGAACGUCUUAUGAAGUUAUGGGUCAAGGAGUUGGAGGCACGAAGAAUCUUCCUUUUCGGUUUUCGGACUUAAAGAACUAUCUAAUGACAAUUCGUCAAAAGGAGAUGGUGGUUGGUGAAGCAACUGUAAUUCAAGAAUUCUUUAGAAAUGAAGCUCUCUCGAAACCAUCUUUUUACUAUGAUAUCCAAGUUGAUGCUGCAGAAGACAUAUGUAACGCCCUAAUUGUUAUUUAAUUAUUUUUAGUGGAUUUAAAGUCUUUUAUAUGAUUUUAAAUGAUUUAUGUUGA